rnacentral:rRNA from 1 species
UACGAAGGGGGCUAGCGUUGCUCGGAAUCACUGGGCGUAAAGGGCGCGUAGGCGGCGUUUUAAGUCGGGGGUGAAAGCCUGUGGCUCAACCACAGAAUGGCCUUCGAUACUGGGACGCUUGGGUAUGGUAGAGGUUGGUGGAACUGCGAGUGUAGAGGUGAAAUUCGUAGUUAUUCACAAGAACACCGGUGGCGAAGGCGGCCAACUGGACCAUUACUGACGCUGAGGCGCGAAAGCGUGGGGAGCAAACAGG